GUCAAUGUGGCCGAGAGGUUACGGCGUCAGACUCGAAAUCUGAUACGUUCGCGUACAGUCGAAUUCUGUCACUGACG